CCCAGCUCUGCUCUGAACCAUCUCUUUCAUCAGUGCUCUGAAUGCUGGAUGGAACAUUCAGCAAGUCCAAUACAAGAAAACCCCUUGGGAUUUUCUCAUCUGAGAUUGGAAAGCUGAAAGUUGCAAAAGAUGCAGUAGUGGCAGACCCACUACAGUUCUGAGGCUCUGUGCCCUUUGAUCCCAUUAUUAGAAGGAAUAUCCUCUCUCAGACAUGAAAGAUGAGGCAGAGGAACCUACAGCAGGCAAGGCAAGCUUCAGCCUAAAAAAUGCAGUGCGAAAGUGAGAAGCAAGAUUUUUCUAAGUACUCUGUCCCCAUGGGUAUCUCUGUGAUUGAAAGAAGACUUCAGUGAACUGAAGAGGCAUGACUCUGCUUCAAUGACAGAAUCUUUAGAAUAGCAGAUCAGAAUUUACAGCCAGGUCCCAGAAUCAAGUACAACUGCAGUGGUAAGGAUGAUUCGUGCUGCUGUGUAAUGAGAGAAAUCAUGCAUCUUUGGCUAUUCAUGGGCCUGAAAUACAGCCUCCUGCAGCUGAUAAGGUAUAAUGGCUUUCAGUGAGCUUCAGCACCUCUGAACUGAAUGCAGCGGAGACCCAACAUGACUGAAGUUUCCAAGUCCAACUGUAAGGAGGAAGCUUAACUGCUUAAUUCUGCUGCUUUUCUAGUGUUACACAAAGCACACAAUAAAGCAUAAGGCAACUUUGCCUGGUUUAUAGUAGAACUUUUAAUUAAAUGUUUUUUCUUUGUAAACUGAAUUUAAAAACAAAAAUCAGCAGUAGGAGGCUUUAACUGCACGAUGUCUCUUUUGAGUUAGAGACAAAAGCCUUAAUUGGUUUUUAUUGCACGAGGAUUCUAUUGUAACCUCGGAGCCAAUAUUUGUAACCAGUAUUGAAAGGGGUCCUUAGAACCUCCAAGAGAGACUCAUGACAGCUAACACACAAGCGCAGGGGAGUGGAGGAAUACACAAAGAACUUCUGGGAAACAAUGUGAUUAGGUGUGAUUGUUCUCAGAAAUCUAAUACACAUUUAUAACUUAAGCAUAUAUGUAUAGCUUCUGUCUGAAAGCUAGGUAUGCAUCUUAGAUGGAGCGAUGCCCUGUGCAUUGAGCGCCAUAAUGAAGAAUGCUGCCUCUUCAUGCUACACUGGUCACUGGUGUUAAGAGUUUUCUUUUCUCCUGGUUUUUCUGUGACAAUACCUUUCUGUCAUUUAUAUCUGAGGUCUAACUUAAUUUGUUGAGAGUUUCUACUUCGUUGUCUUGUCACUUAAGCCUUUCGCAGAUACUAACAAAUUAUCUCUGCGGAAUUGUUGUCAGGGGAAAUAAUUUAUUUGCACUUUAUGGUUUGGAACAUGGCACAUCAGAAGCAGUAAAUACCUUUGUGGAUCUGGCAUUGUGUUCAGUGAAGUGCCACCUCUGGUACCCAGACAGAUGCCUAUGCCACACAACUGCUGUUCUUGUGUUAAUAGCUUUUAUGCUAUCGGGAUGUCAAUCAGUAAUGGGACAGAAGGAACACAAUUCAGUGAAAAUUCAAACUUAAUGGACUGAAUUGCUCUUGGACUGCCUUAGUGUGUUGCAGUGUCUGCAGUCACAAUUGCAUUUGAUUGUGUGAAAAGUGCUUACUAGGCUGAAUUUUGAAGCUACCUGUCCGUUGUUUGGUCAAACAACAUAUAGUAUAUAUAUAGAAUAUAGACAUAGGAUGAAAGUCUUUCCCCUUUACUUAACUUGGAAGCCCUAGAUAUAUCUGUGCUUUAUUAAAAGAGUAGCUGUAAAGAUUUCAACUGGGGUGAAAUAAUACAGGCAAAUAAAGCAUGAGCCAGAGACAAUAAUUUAGAAGCAGGAUACUCCGCGAUGGGUGUUCUAGGAGCUGAACCAGGAAAUAUUGCCUCAUUCCCCAGAAACAUGAGCCUAAUUCUUACCACAUUCCUAACCUAAUUGUGCACACUGACCAGUUCAGCUAUGUUUCAGACAGACAGCUAAAUGUGUAGGUAUGGCUGUGGUUUUCUUUGUUUUGUUCAAUCUGAUGUAAGCUCAGAGCUUGACAGUGGACUUCUGGAUGUGAACCUCAUCCUCCAGCAUUUGCAAUAUCUGGAUUUUCAGAAGGUUUCUUCUGGGUCAUGAACAUUGUAUUUCUACCAUCCAUUAAUAUAAAAUGUUUGCAUCUUUAUUUCUAGAUGAAUUAUUCAGUUGCUAAAAAAAAAUGAUAGCAAAAAAAUAAAUAAAAUAAAUGCUUUAGAGAUUUCAGCACAAAAGCAAUAACCU
rnacentral:lncRNA from 7 species